CCUACGGGUGGCAGCAGUGGGGAAUAUUGCACAAUGGGGGAAACCCUGAUGCAGCGAUGCCGCGUGAGUGAAGAAGUUUUUCGGUAUGUAAAGCUCUAUCAGCAGGGAAGAAGAAAGACGGUACCUGACUAAGAACCCCCGGCUAACUACGUGCCAGUAGCCGCGGUAAUACGUAGGGGGCAAGCGUUAUCCGGAUUUACUGGGCGUAAAGGGAGCGUAGACGGAUAUGCAAGUUUGAAGUGAAAGCCCAGGGCUCAACCCUGGGACUGCUUUGGAAACUGUGGAGCUAGAGUGUUGGAGAGGUAAGUGGAAUACCUAGUGUAGAGGUGAAAUGCGUAGAUAUUAGGAAGAACACCAGUGGCGAAGGCGGCUAACUGGACAGUAACUGACGUUGAGGCUCGAAAGCAUGGGGAGCAAACAGGAUUAGAUACCCGUGUAGUC
rnacentral:rRNA from 1 species